GGGCCUAUAGUUCAAUGGCAGAAUACGACUAUGGCAUAGUCGGGGCAGGAGUUCGAUUCUCCUUAGGUCCACCA
rnacentral:tRNA from 1 species